UGGCUCCCCAAAUCGGUGGUCAUAUGUCGGAGGACGUAGAUUCUACUAUGUAGGAUAUUAUCAUGGAUAUGGUUACCACCGUUACGGCACCUCAGGACAUUAUAACCCCAAUGAGACUGGUGUCUGCAAUUUACUCUACUGACAAAGAAGUAGCAGAGGAUGUCACUCAGUGGGAAGUUGGAUUGCUUUCAAAUUUACCACUUGGUUUAAUCUUGGAGCACUACUCAUUAGUGCAUGAAGGUCAGCUGCAUAACAUGUGUUUGUAUAUGAUGCACCUUUAAAAUUUGUUAUAGCUGGUGUAAUCAAUUGAUUAAGUCUGUUGUAUGUUACAGUGGAAGAUUCAAUGGGUCUCAAUUUUUUCUCAUUUUAUCCAUGUUCCAUUGUGUACCCCAGUAAGAGAGCCACGAAUUACCCAAAAGUACCCAAAAGUAUAGCAAAUAAAGGUAAAAUCUUAAUGAGUAUCUGUUAUACAUACACAAAACAUGUUUAAUAUUAUUUUUAGUGUAAUUUUGUAAAAAUAAUUUGUAAGAUGAAAUAAUAAACAGCGAAAAACUUUUAGUAUUGGCUAACGCUAAAUUCCA
rnacentral:misc_RNA from 1 species